GGGAGUAAUCCCACAUUCUUUGCUAAUUGUUUGACUUCUUUGUGUAAUGGAAUUCCUGCCUUCAGAGGGCCCUGGUGCCAUUCUAAGGCUGGUACAGAGAAGGAGAACAAAAUAGGUGAAACCAUCAGAGUGGUAGGUGUUUUCUAGCUGGUUGGCUUACCGUUUGGAAGAAAUUUGUUGUCCUGUUCGGGAACUGAGGGGGUGCUCCAUGAUGUGUACAAGCAAAUGUUCCAGAUGCAUUGGGAUUUCCCUGUUUCCUCUCUCUAUCUGUGCGAUUGUCUCCAAUCUUCUCCUCUAUUUCCCCAACGGACAAGUAUUAGAAGCCAACAGGAUCACCGACCUGGUCUGGUUUUUCCAUGGCAUUCUGGGAGCUGGAAUAUUGAUACUCUUGCCGGCAUUUAUGAUGUUGGGCGCAGGCGGAGAAGGAUGUUGCACUAACAGAUGUGGAAUGCUGCUCUCUGUCCUCUUUGCUGCGUUGGGAGCCUCAGGUGGCAUAUACUGCGUGAUCAUCUCAUUCUUGGGGUUGAUUUUUGGUCCUCUUUGUGACAUUGGCAACGAAGUAUACGUCUACCCUUUCAGGAACGACAGCUUCGCAGAUAACUAUUUGUUUAACCAGACAAUGUGGUCCAUUUGCAAGAAGCCGGAAAACAUCAUCCUUUGGAACGUGGUUUUGUUUUCCCUCCUGCUGGCCAUCGGCACACUGGAAGCCAUCCUUUGCCUCAUCCAAGUCGUGAAUGGGCUGUCUGGGUUCGUGUGUGGCACCUGUCUCAGGAAAAAAAAGACGGAUGUCGCAGGAAUGUGAUCAGCCUCCACAGGAGAAAAGCAACAUCCGGCCAAUGUAUUGUCGAAGGCUUUCACAACAACAUCCGGCCAGUUCACAUCCAGUCAGGGUUGUGUGUUUUUUCUGUACAGGAGUAGGAACAAAGACAGAAUGGGUGCUCAGAACUACAAAAUAAUCCAGAAUCUUUUUAAGUAUAAAAAGAAUCAAAACAUAGUUGGAUGUGUGUGAUUAAUCUAGUUUUUUCUGAUAUUAUAGUAUAUAUCAGUGAUGGCAAAUCUUUUAGAGACUGAGUGCCAGGGGCAGAGCAAGGGAAAACUGUGUCCAGGGCACAUGUGUGCCCUGUGCCCCUGUCUGCCCCCGCCCUGCCCUGGAACGCCCUGAAACACCCCCAUCACACUCCCUGGAACACCCUCACCACGCCCCUGCAGGGGCAUGCGCCCAGUGCAUUAUGCACCCCUCGCCCCCUUGACACUAUGCCACUGCCGAGGGCCCGGACUGGGGCAAUGGUGCGCAUGCCCACAAAGAGGGCUCUGAGUGCCACCUCUGGCACCCGUGCCAUAGGUUCGCCACCACUGGUAUAUAUUGUUUAAUUUGUCUUUGCAAUCAAGCAAAUAAAAAAAGAUGUGUGGGGGAUUCUUUGCAAUCCAGCAAAGAAAAUGAACCACAGAGAAAGAGCUUAAAACUCAGGAUUGCCCAAAAGAACUGACUAGCCGUUGGUUCAUCAGAAUAUUU